rnacentral:rRNA from 1 species
UACGUAGGGGGCAAGCGUUGUCCGGAUGUAUUGGGCGGAAAGCGCUCGCAGGUGGUUCGAUGCGUCGUGCGUGAAAGACCCCGGCUCAACUGGGGAGGGUCGUGCGAUACGGUCGAACUGGAGGCCAGUAGGGGGAUGCGGAAUUCCGGGUGUAGUGGUGGAAUGCGUAGAGAUCCGGAGGAACACCAGCGGCGAAGGCGGCAUCCUGGACUGGUCCUGACACUCAGGAGCGAAAGCGUGGGGAGCGAUCCGG